rnacentral:rRNA from 1 species
UACGAAGGGUGCAAGCGUUGUUCGGAAUUACUGGGCGUAAAGCGCGCGUAGGCGGGUCUGUGUGUCGAUUGUGAAAGCCCUGGGCUUAACCUGGGAAUGGCAGUCGAAACUGCAGAUCUUGAAUGUCUGAGAGGAUGGCGGAAUUCCCGGUGUAGUAGUGAAAUACGUAGAUAUCGGGGAAGAACACCUGAGGCGAAGGCGGCUAUCUGGCGGUACAUUGACGCUGAUGCGCGAAAGCGUGGGGAGCAAACAGGG